GGGCCCGUAGCUCAAUUGGUAGAGCGUCUCCAUGGCAUGGAGGAGGUCGAGGGUUCAAUUCCCUUCGGGUCCA
rnacentral:tRNA from 1 species